AUGGCUAAAUAUUGGUGGAGCAGCGACAUCGAUAGGAGAUCUCUUCAUUGGCUCUCUUGGAAGAAUCUCUCCGUUUCGAAACAAGGAGGCAUGGGUUUUCGUGACUUUGAACUCUUUAAUCUAGCCCUACUCGGUAAGCACGGGUGGCGGCUAAUGACACACCCGGACUCCUUGUGUGCUCGAGUUCUGAAGGGCAAGUACUUUCAUAACUGCAGCUUCAUGGAAGCUACUACACCUCGCUCGGCGUCUGCUACGUGGAAAGCUAUUAUCGCAGGUCGA
rnacentral:rRNA from 1 species